AAUAUCCUAUAAAAUAGGAAGUGAUGACUAAAAUGUAGUAAUACGAGGGUCAACCUUGUGAAAUGUAAUUUUGAACUUGUGAAUCGAGAGAUUAGUAUAUACAAUUUAAUUUACUUAUUUUUGGCUGAUAAAUAUUGAAUUCUACCGAAUUGCGAUUCUACAGUUGGAUCCUCCGCUGUAACUCUGCAAGAGCAUAAUAGAAAUUACGUAUGCUCUGUUCUGGCUAUGUUUCCAGCCAAUUAUUUAGAACAGAGUAGAUCUAACUAUACAUUGGCGAUCCGAUGUGUAGAGUAAUCAGAUUAGUAUAAAAUAAUGUUAAAU
rnacentral:misc_RNA from 1 species